UUUGUACUCAUCCGUUCGUUUACGUAUCGUUAUUUAUAUAAAUAUAUUGUAUCCCUCAUUAAACAAAAAUGUCCUCCAUGACAGACGACUUGGACUGGCAGAUAAAUAGAACCUUGCCAGAAUGUAUGUUGUAUAUGUUGGAACAUGAAAUAAUGUGUGACAUUUCCUUUCGAGUUGGUCCAGAACAUAGAAUACUGAAAGCUCAUAAAUACAUGCUGUGUAGCCGAAGCCCUGUGUUCUAUAUCAUGACGCAAGGUUCCUUGCCGGAAACGGGCGAAAUAGAUGUCCCGGAUGUUGACGCAGAAACUUUCCGUGUCCUAUUGGAACAUAUUUAUAGUGACAGUGUAGCAAUACCAAAAGACAAAGUAGGUAAAGUACUGUAUGCAUCAGAGAAGUAUAUGCUUCCUAAGCUGAAAUGUGCGUGUGAACAGUUGCUACAAAGCCUAGCCACUUCAUCUGACGCACCUAUUGUACUACAGACUGCUCACUCCUUUAACAUGUCAGACCUACAACAGGAGAGUUUACAAUACAUACUACAAUCCCCAAAGCAAUGCUUGAAUUCAGAAGACGCAUUGAAUUUGUCAGCUGAUUGCAUGGAAAUGAUAUUGAGUUCGGACGAAUUGAUGCUUUCGGAGGCGGCAGUAUUUACCUUUCUUUUACAAUGGGCUACAUAUCGUUGUAUGACAAACGACCUUGAGAUUAGUGACCAGUAUAUACGAGAGACAAUGAGUAGCCUUCUCUACUGCGUGAGAUUUCCGUGUAUGGAACAAGAUUUCUUUACCACAGAAGUAUCAACCAAAGACAUCUUAUCAAAAGACGAAUUGUUGUCAAUCUAUCGGUCUUUUAAUGGAAUAAAAAGUGAAAUAUUUUCGGAAUUAAAAAGGAAGGAACCGGCCGCAAACAGAGUUAUACGUUAUAGUAACCUUUCUUCAACUGGUUCUUGGAUAAGCAAUGAACAAGAUGCAGUCACACUUACAUGUAGCAAACCAGUAUUUCUGAAAAGCAUUCUCUCCUUUGGAACAAAGGCUGCAACUGCUUGUCUGUCACCUGGUGUUGAAAUUCGAGAUGGCACAGGGGCAGUUUUGUCGAGUGUUCAGAGAGAUAUAUCCAUUGGCUUUUGUGAAACAUUUGAUAUUGAUUUUCCUCAACCUGUGCAUCUUGACGCGAAUGUGAUGUACACUGUAAUAUCAAAAGGUGUUUCUAGGAAUGUGUACUAUGGGACUACUUGCAAGAACGUUGUCAAUGUCAAAGACAUGACUUUUACAUUUGGAGAUUCCAUUCAAAAUAAAACGGCUACAUCAGCUGUCUUCGGACAAAUAGCUGGCUUUACUUUUCAUUUGUAGUAUGAUCUUCAUUGUUUUUCAUUAUUUAUUUGUGUAACUGCUUAGCAUAUUGACAAUACCAUAUUCUACAUCAAAGUUCAAAGCACAAUCUCAAUGUGACAGUUUAACAUUUUACAAAAUUAUUUAUUAAAUGUCCUCUACAACUUUACAGUAUCAGUCCAUGGGCGAAUGCAGCCAUUUUAAAAAGGGGAGGUUCUCAACCCAGGAUAAAGGGGGGGGGUCCAACUAUAUGUACCCAUUUAAAUGCAUUGAUCGGCCGAAAUAAAGGGGGAUUCCAGCCCCUCUGGAUCCGCCUCUGUAGUCAGAAGAAACGUGUCAGAUUUGUACUUAACAUAUAUCUUUUUUCAAACAUUAUUGUGAUGACUGCUUUGUGAAUUGCCAGAUAUGCGUGCAGAUAUGAAUCAAAGUUUUAUGAGAUUAUUCAAUAUAGUUAAAAUACUGUUGCAUGGUGUUAUAUGGUGAUUUUAAACUUGAAGAUAUUUUUUACAAACAGCCAAAGUAUACUAUUUAAGGAUAACAUAACCUGCAAAUACAUCUUGUUUUAUUGUAUUCCCAUUGUGUUGUUAUUUAAUAGUUUUAUACAAUCUUAAACACAUAAAU